rnacentral:misc_RNA from 1 species
CAAGGAACCAGCCUACCCGGCUGGAACCUCCCACCACUGUGUACCGAACUUUUGUUGCCUCGGCGGGCCGGGCGCCCACCAGCGUCCCCCCUUGCGGGAGCCGCCCGCCGAAGGACCAUCCAAAACCUUUUGUUUAUAACGUCUGAUUACUUUUUAUAAAGAAAUA